CCAGACUCCUACGGGAGGCAGCAGUGGGGGAUAUUGCACAAUGGGGGGAACCCUGAUGCAGCGACGCCGCGUGGGUGAAGGAGUAUUUCGGUAUGUAAAGCCCUAUCGGCAGGGAAGAAGCAAGACGGUACCUGACUAAGAAGCCCCGGCUAACUACGUGCCAGCAGCCGCGGUAAUACGUAGGUGGCAAGCGUUGUCCGGAUUUACUGGGUGUAAAGGGCGUGUAGCCGGGAAGGCAAGUCAGAUGUGAAAUCUGGAGGCUCAACCUCCAAAUUGCAUUUGAAACUGUUUUUCUUGAGUACUGGAGAGGCAGACGGAAUUCCUUGUGUAGCGGUGAAAUGCGUAGAUAUAAGGAGGAACACCAGUGGCGAAGGCGGUCUACUGGACAGCAACUGACGGUGAGGCGCGAAAGCGUGGGGAGCAAACAGGAUUAGAUACCCGGGUAU
rnacentral:rRNA from 1 species